GUGGGGAAUCUUCCGCAAUGGACGAAAGUCUGACGGAGCAACGCCGCGUGAGUGAAGAAGGUUUUCGGAUCGUAAAGCUCUUUCGUUAGGGACGAACGUGCUCUUUGUGAAUAAUGAGGAGUAAUGACGGUACCUAAAUAAGAAGCCACGGCUAACUACGUGUCAGCAGCCGCGGUAAUACGUAGGUGGCAAGCGUUGUCCGGAAUUAUUGGGCGUAAAGCGCGCGCAGGCGGGAUAUCAAGUCUGUCUUAAAAGUGCGAGGCUCAACCUCGUGAGGGGACAGAAACUGGUAUUCUUGAGUGUCGGAGAGGAAAGUGGAAUUCCAAGUGUAGCGGUGAAAUGCGUAGAGAUUUGGAAGAACACCAGUGGCGAAGGCGACUUUCUGGACGAUGUCUGACGCUGAGGCGCGAAAGCUAGGGGAGCGAACGGGAUUAGAUACCCUUGUAGUCC
rnacentral:rRNA from 1 species